GCUGGCGUGGCGCAACGGUAGCGCAGCGGAUUUGUAAUCCGCAGGUUGUGGGUUCGAGCCCCACCGCCAGCU
rnacentral:tRNA from 1 species